UGGGCUUCAAGGGCUCCGUCU
rnacentral:siRNA from 1 species